rnacentral:rRNA from 1 species
GAUGAACGCUAGCGGCAGGCCUAAUACAUGCAAGUCGAACGGUGUAGCAAUACACAGUGGCGCACGGGUGCGUAACACGUAUGCAACCUACCUUACAUUGGGGGAUAGCCUUUCGAAAGGGAGAUUAAUACCGCAUAAGACAGUAACUAGGCAUCUAGUAGCUGUUAAAGAUUUAUCGAUGUAAGCUAGGCAUGCGUCCAAUUAGUUAGUUGGCGAGGUAAUGGCUCACCAAGACGAUGAUUGGUAGGGGAACUGAGAGGUCAAUCCCCCACACUGGCACUGAGAUACGGGCCAGACUCCUACGGGAGGCAGCAGUAGGGAAUAUUGGGCAAUGGGCGCAAGCCUGACCCAGCCAUGCCGCGUGCAGGAAGAAGGCGUUAUGCGUUGUAAACUGCUUUUAUACAGGAAGAAACGACCCUUGCGAGGGGCAUUGACGGUACUGUAUGAAUAAGCACCGGUUAACUCCGUGCCAGCCGCCGCAGUAAAAC